GUCUCCAUGGUCUAGUGGUUCAUGACGUCGGUCUCAUAUCGCGUAUGAUCAAUUGUAAACAAUUGGGCUAUCCGGAAAGCUGAGUUCGAUUCUCAGUGGGGACA
rnacentral:tRNA from 1 species